CUGUGUGUGUGUGUGUGUGUGUGUAUGUGUGUGUGGGGGGAUAGGACGAUUUCGCAAGGAAGGGUGGAGGCAAAGCUCCGGAGGGAUCUAUAAAAGAUGACAGCGUUCCAAAGAUCCUCAUUUCAUCCGGGACCAACCUUGCUCUCUUAUCUAUCAACACUGGAGAGCACUAAGAACCCCGAGGCCAUGAACCGCUUUUUCAAUGAGCUGGACCAGAAUAAGGAUGGGUAGAUGUCCUUUGACGAGUUUGUGACUGCCCUCAUUAGAGUCUUUGAAACUUCCACCACAAACACUGAGCCAGCGGUGUGAGGAUCUGAUGUCACCAGAUCGCUUCUCCUCCCUGUCUAACCAGCGUCACCCCUUCGAGGCUUCUGGGCUCAGCCCUGGGGAGCCCAGAACAAUAAAGAGUUUAAUCUUCCCCAAAA